rnacentral:rRNA from 1 species
AUGGCGGCGCGGCAGCUUACCAUGCAGUCGAGCGGUAACAGGGGUAGCUUGCUACCCGCUGACGAGCGGCGGACGGGUGAGUAAUGCAUAGGAAACUGCCCAGUAGUGGGGGAUAGCCCGGGGAAACCCGGAUUAAUACCGCAUACGUCCUUCGGGAGAAAGCAGGGGAUCUUCGGACCUUGCGCUAUUGGAUGUGCCUAUGUCGGAUUAGCUGGUUGGUGAGGUAAUGGCUCACCAAGGCGACGAUCCGUAGCUGGUCUGAGAGGAUGAUCAGCCACAUCGGGACUGAGACACGGCCCGAACUCCUACGGGAGGCAGCAGUGGGGAAUAUUGGACAAUGGGGGCAACCCUGAUCCAGCCAUGCCGCGUGUGUGAAGAAGGCUUUCGGGUUGUAAAGCACUUUCAGUGAGGAGGAAAAGUUAGUCCUUAAUACGGGCUAGCCUUGACGUUACUCACAGAAGAAGCACCGGCUAACUCCGUGCCAGCAGCCGCGGUAAUACGGAGGGUGCAAGCGUUAAUCGGAAUUACUGGGCGUAAAGCGCGCGUAGGUGGUUUGAUAAGCGAGAUGUGAAAGCCCCGGGCUUAACCUGGGAACGGCAUUUCGAACUGUCAGGCUAGAGUGUGGUAGAGGGUAGUGGAAUUUCCUGUGUAGCGGUGAAAUGCGUAGAUAUAGGAAGGAACACCAGUGGCGAAGGCGGCUACCUGGACCAACACUGACACUGAGGUGCGAAAGCGUGGGGAGCAAACAGGAUUAGAUACUUUGGUAGUC